CGAGCGGACGGAUGGGAGCUUGCUCCCUGAAGUCAGCGGCGCCCUCUUGAGUAACACGUGGGCAACCUGCCUGUAAGACUGGGCUUCCAUAAGAAAACCGGGGCUAAUACCGGAUAAUUCUUCCCUUCACAUGAGGGGGAGCUGAAAGAUGGUUUCGGCUAUCUCUCUCUGAUGGGCCCGCGGCGCAUUAGCUAGUUGGUGAGGUAACGGCUCACCAAGGCGACGAUGCGUAGCCGACCUGAGAGGGUGAUCGGCCACACUGGGACUGAGACACGGCCCAGACUCCUACGGGAGGCAGCAGUAGGGAAUCUUCCGCAAUGGACGAAAGUCUGACUGAGCAACGCCGCGUGAGUGAUGAAGGUUUUCGGAUCGUAAAACUCUGUUGUCAGGGAAGAACAAGUGCCGGAGUAACUGCCGGCACCUUGUUUUUUUUUGGCCAGAAAGCCACGGCUAACUACGUGCCAGCAGCCGCGGUAAUACGUAGGUGGCAAGCGUUGUCCGCAAUUAUUGGGCGUAAAGCGCGCGCAGGCGGUUCCUUAAGUCUGAUGUGAAAGCCCACGGCUCAACCGUGGAGGGUCAUUGGAAACUGGGGAACUUGAGUGCAGAAGAGGAGAGUGGAAUUCCACGUGU
rnacentral:rRNA from 1 species